UUUCGUGAUGAACUCUUUAUUUCGCUGUGUUCUUACCGAGUUACACGUUGAAGAAUCAAUAUUCAUCUUGGAGAACUGAUUC
rnacentral:snoRNA from 1 species